GAGUUUGAUCCUGGCUCAGAUUGAACGCUGGCGGCAUGCCUUACACAUGCAAGUCGAACGGCAGCACGGGAGCUUGCUCCUGGUGGGCGAGUGGCGAACGGGUGAGUAAUGCAUCGGAACGUAUCCUGGAGUGGGGGAUAACGUAGCGAAAGUUACGCUAAUACCGCAUAUUCUGUGAGCAGGAAAGCGGGGGGACCUUCGGGCCUCGCGCUCUUGGAGCGGCCGAUGUCGGAUUAGCUAGUUGGUGAGGUAAAGGCUCACCAAGGCGACGAUCCGUAGCAGGUCUGAGAGGAUGAUCUGCCACACUGGAACUGAGACACGGUCCAGACUCCUACGGGAGGCAGCAGUGGGGAAUUUUGGACAAUGGGGGCAACCCUGAUCCAGCCAUGCCGCGUGAGUGAAGAAGGCC
rnacentral:rRNA from 1 species